AUGUUGUCAGUGUGUAUCUGUAUGUGUGUAUGUGUAUCUAUGUGUAGGUCAGUGUGAAUCUGUGUGUUUCAGUGUGUGUAUCUGUUUGUGUACUUGAAUGGUGUCAGUAUGUAUAUCUAUGUAUCUGCAUGUGUGUCUGUGUGUGUAUCUGCUUGUCUGUCAGUGUGUGUCUGUAUUUGUAUCAGUGUGUGUAUAUUUUUAUUUGCAUGUCAG